AUUGAACGCUGGCGGCAGGCUUAACACAUGCAAGUCGAACGAGCGGCGGACGGGUGAGUAAUGUCUGGGAAUCUGCCUUAUGGAGGGGGAUAACUACGGGAAACGGUAGCUAAUACCGCAUACCAUCAGAUGUGCCCAGAUGGGAUUAGCUAGUAGGUGGGGUAAUGGCUCACCUAGGCGACGAUCCCUAGCUGGUCUGAGAGGAUGACCAGCCACACUGGAACUGAGACACGGUCCAGACUCCUACGGGAGGCAGCAGUGGGGAAUAUUGCACAAUGGGGGCAAGCCUGAUGCAGCCAUGCCGCGUGUGUGAAGAAGGCCUUCGGGUUGUAAAGUACUUUCAGCGGGGAGGCGUUAACCACAGAAGAAGCACCGGCUAACUCCGUGCCAGCAGCCGCGGUAAUAC
rnacentral:rRNA from 1 species